GAUGAACGCUGGCGGCGUGCCUAAUACAUGCAAGUCGAGCGAAUGGAUUAAGAGCUUGCUCUUAUGAAGUUAGCGGCGGACGGGUGAGUAACACAUGGGUAACCUGCCCAUAAGACUGGGAUAACUCCGGGAAACCGGGGCUAAUACCGGAUAAUAUUUUGAACUGCAUGGUUCAAAAGGUAAAGGCGGCUGCGGCUGUCACUUAUGGAUGGACCCGCGGCGCAUUAGCUAGUUGGUGAGGUAACGGCUCACAAAGGCAACGAUGCGUAGCCGACCUGAGAGGGUGAUCGGCCACACUGGGACUGAGACACGGCCCAGACUCCUACGGGAGGCAGCAGUAGGGAAUCUUCCGCAAUGGACGAAAGUCUGACGGAGCAACGCCGCGUGAGUGAUGAAGGCUUUCGGGUCGUAAAACUCUGUUGUUAGGGAAGAACAAGUGCUAGUUGAAUAAGCUGGCACCUUGACGGUACCUAACCAGAAAGCCACGGCUAACUACGUGCCAGCAGCCGCCGUAA
rnacentral:rRNA from 1 species